rnacentral:rRNA from 1 species
UACGAAGGGGGCUAGCGUUGUUCGGAAUUACUGGGCGUAAAGCGUAUGUAGGCGGAUCGUUAAGUCGGGGGUGAAAUCCCGAGGCUCAACCUCGGAACUGCCUUCGAUACUGGCGAUCUUCGAGUCCGGGAGAGGUGAGUGGAAUUCCUGGUGUAGCGGUGAAUGACGCAGAUAUCAGGAAGAACACCCGUGGCUAAGGCGGCUCUCUAGUACGGUACUGACGCUGAGACGCGAAAGCGUGGGGAGCGAACAGG